GGGUGUAUAGCUCAGUGGUAGAGCACGUGCUGAGCAUGCACGAGGUCCUGGUUUCAAUCCCCAGUACCUCUG
rnacentral:tRNA from 1 species